GACGAACGCUGGCGGCGUGCUUAACACAUGCCAGUCGAACGGAAAGGCCUCUUUCGGGGGGUACUCGAGUGGCGAACGGGUGAGUAACACGUGAGUAACCUGCCCUUGACUUUGGGAUAACUUCAGGAAACUGGGGCUAAUACCGGAUAGGAGCUCCUGCUGCAUGGCGGGGGUUGGAAAGUUUCGGCGGUUGGGGAUGGACUCGCGGCUUAUCAGCUUGUUGGUGGGGUAGUGGCUUACCAAGGCUUUGACGGGUAGCCGGCCUGAGAGGGUGACCGGCCACAUUGGGACUGAGAUACGGCCCAGACUCCUACGGGAGGCAGCAGUGGGGAAUAUUGCACAAUGGGUGGAAGCCUGAUGCAGCAACGCCGUGUGCGGGAUGACGGCCUUCGGGUUGUAAACCGCUUUCGCUCAUGACGAAGCUUUGUGUGACGGUAGUGGGUAAAGAAGCACCGGCUAACUACGUG
rnacentral:rRNA from 1 species